UUCCUGAAAAGCCCACGGCACUUCCAGCUGGGAUGCAGCCGCCGUUGCUGCCACGUCAGAAGAGACAAAGCAGCUUCCUCGCAUUCAGGAGAAUCUCCCCCAGUUAACAAACCCGAGGAGGAGGCCGGGAGGAGGGAGGGGGGGGGAAGAGAAGACACCCCUGGGGCUGCCCGGGAGCAGAGUCCAGCCCAGCCUGCCCAGUGUUCAGACUACCUGUUCAGGAGCAUAUGAAGUUGUACAGUAGUCUGCACAUUGGUUAGAUCGGGCUUGGCAUAGCGACGCCUUGGCAGCAGCUGGGGAGACCCAGGUAAGGUGGGCAGUGCUGGGCUUCACUCCUCCUCCUCCCUUCUAUCAUCAGCCCCUGCUUCCAGCCCAGGAGCAAACUCUUCCCUCCAUGUUUGCCACCAGCUGGACACAGCCAGAUGCCCAAGCGCUUGUGGCUGCCCAGCUUCCCUGGUGGGAGGAGGUAGAUUAAGGGGGUCUUGAUCUAGAUUUACAGCCCCUGUGCUAAGAAGAGGUUCAAUCUUUGCAGCUUGCACUGAAGAUCCAGGACGCGAACAGAGGGAGCAUGGGGGCUGCCUCCAGAUACUAAAGCUGUAUGGCCACUCAGAGAAAAUAAAACUUCUGCUAACAU